rnacentral:rRNA from 1 species
GAGGGUGAUCGGCCACACUGGAACUGAGACACGGUCCAGACUCCUACGGGAGGCAGCAGUAGGGAAUCUUCCGCAAUGGGCGAAAGCCUGACGGAGCAACGCCGCGUGAGUGAUGAAGGUCUUCGGAUCGUAAAACUCUGUUAUUAGGGAAGAACAUAUGUGUAAGUAACUGUGCACAUCUUGACGGUACCUAAUCAGAAAGCCACGGCUAACUACGUGCCAGCAGCCGCGGUAAUACGUAGGUGGCAAGCGUUAUCCGGAAUUAUUGGGCGUAAAGCGCGCGUAGGCGGUUUUUUAAGUCUGAUGUGAAAGCCCACGGCUCAACCGUGGAGGGUCAUUGGAAACUGGAAAACUUGAGUGCAGAAGAGGAAAGUGGAAUUCCAUGUGUAGCGGUGAAAUGCGCAGAGAUAUGGAGGAACACCAGUGGCGAAGGCGACUUUCUGGUCUGUAACUGACGCUGAUGUGCGAAAGCGUGGGGAUCAAACAGGAUUAGAUACCCUGGUAGUCCACGCCGUAAACGAUGAGUGCUAAGUGUUAGGGGGUUUCCGCCCCUUAGUGCUGCAGCUAACGCAUUAAGCA